UGGGGAAUAUUGGACAAUGGGGGGAACCCUGAUCCAGCCAUGCCGCGUGUGUGAAGAAGGCCUUAUGGUUGUAAAGCACUUUAAGCGAGGAGGAGGGUACUGGUAUUAAUACUACCAGCUACUGGACGUUACUCGCAGAAUAAGCACCGGCUAACUCUGUGCCAGCAGCCGCGGUAAUACAGAGGGUGCGAGCGUUAAUCGGAUUUACUGGGCGUAAAGCGUGCGUAGGCGGCUAAUUAAGUCAAAUGUGAAAUCCCCGAGCUUAACUUGGGAAUUGCAUUCGAUACUGGUUAGCUAGAGUGUGGGAGAGGAUGGUAGAAUUCCAGGUGUAGCGGUGAAAUGCGUAGAGAUCUGGAGGAAUACCGAUGGCGAAGGCAGCCAUCUGGCCUAACACUGACGCUGAGGUGCGAAAGCAUGGGGAGCAAACAGG
rnacentral:rRNA from 1 species